rnacentral:rRNA from 1 species
AACGAACGCUGGCGGCAGGCCUAACACAUGCAAGUCGAACGCUCCGCAAGGGGAGUGGCGCACGGGUGAGUAACACGUGGGAACCUACCUUCUGGUACGGAACAACCAAGGGAAACUUCGGCUAAGACCGUAUACGACCUCCGGGUGAAAGAUUGAUCGCCGGAAGAGGGGCCCGCGUCCGAUUAGGUAGUUGGUGAGGUAACGGCUCACCAAGCCUUCGAUCGGUAGCUGGUCUGAGAGGAUGACCAGCCACACUGGGACUGAGACACGGCCCAGACUCCUACGGGAGGCAGCAGUGGGGAAUAUUGGACAAUGGGCGCAAGCCUGAUCCAGCCAUGCCGCGUGAGUGAUGAAGGCCUU